UACAGGGGGGGCAAGCGUUGUUCGGAAUUACUGGGCGUAAAGGGUCUGUAGGUGGCUUGCUAAGUCAGACGUGAAAUCCCUCAGCUUAACUGGGGAACUGCGUCUGAUACUGGCAAGCUUGAGUGCAGGAGAGGAACGCGGAAUUCCAGGUGUAGCGGUGAAAUUCGUAGAUAUCGGGAGGAACACCAGUGGCGAAGGCGGAGACCUGGGCCAAUACUGACGCUGAGGUGCGAAAGCGUGGGGAGCAAACAGG
rnacentral:rRNA from 1 species